rnacentral:rRNA from 1 species
CGUGGGUAACCUGCCCAAGAGAUCGGGAUAACACCUGGAAACAGAUGCUAAUACCGGAUAACAACAGAUGAUGCCUAUCAACUGUUUAAAAGAUGGUUCUGCUAUCACUCUUGGAUGGACCUGCGGUGCAUUAGCUAGUUGGUAGGGUAACGGCCUACCAAGGCGAUGAUGCAUAGCCGAGUUUAGAGACUGAUCGGCCACAUUGGGACUGAGACACGGCCCAAACUCCUACGGGAGGCAGCAGGC